rnacentral:tRNA from 1 species
AAUCAAUAAGCUUUAAGCGUAUGUUUUGAAAACAUAAAUUUAGAAGAUAAACCUUCUAUUGAUUU